GUACCUUGCAGACCUUGGGUACCCUCCUGCUCCCCAGCGUCCCCACCCUUUGUCCUUCACACAGCGCUUCCCACUGCCUUCACUGCUCACCGACAGCUCCUCAUGUUAAACUCAGACUGAUGGUGGGGUAUCACAUUGUUUGAAGGAAGGCAGGGUGACUUGAAGCCUCUGAAACACAUACGGUGAUGGGCGGAAACUCUGCUCAACCCUUGAAGUGUUUUGUUAACAUGGUUUUAAAUGGGAAAUCUCAUCUAGUGGAUUUAGUGAACUAAGUGCUUCCCUCUGCCAUCCUCGUGGUUUCCCCUCCAUCCACCACCUGCUCUGUCUGGUCAACCUGACAAGAAUCUGGACGCUUCCACAUUGGUUUAGUUGGCCUGCUGGAAAAUCCUAAACUUUGUAAGAGUAAGAAUCAAGUCUGUUUCAAUAUUCUGAAAUCCAAUUCAGACCAAAAAAAGAAACACACCCGUGGGUGCCAGGCCCCGGCAGCACAUCCACACAGCGAUGGGUGGCAGAGGGCAAAGCGAGCGUGACUGAUCCUUGUCCCCAGGGUGACCGAGCGCAGGCGUACUGUGAGCUGGAGAGCGCCCUGUGGGAAGACGACAGCCGCCCGCCGUGCGGAGUGGUGAACCGGCUGCUGGCAGAGGUGUCCCAGGACCUGACGGCAGCCCAGGGCGUGACCAGCAAUGUGAGGACAGCUGCCAGCAAUGUCCUGGUGGCUCUGGCCCGGACGCACUUCACCUUGGUGAUGGCCGAGCUCCAGAGCCACCUGAAGGCCGUGGGGGACAUGUCCAAGGACUUUGUGCUCAUCACCCUGAGCAAACUCUUCAGCACCUAUGCUCCACAGUGCAUCCCCUUUGUGUGGCUGACGCUGGCCGGCCUGCGCAGUGUGGUGGGCCAGGUGAGGAGUGGCCAGAUCCUGCGCAUCUCUUGUGCUGGUGAGUGCCGGCCCCAGAGCAGGGGG